CCUACGGGUGGCAGCAGUGGGGAAUAUUGCACAAUGGGGGAAACCCUGAUGCAGCGACGCCGCGUGAGUGAAGAAGUAUUUCGGUAUGUAAAGCUCUAUCAGCAGGGAAGAAACCCACUCUCCGGGGUGGCUGACGGUACCUGACUAAGAAGCCCCGGCUAACGACGUGCCAGCAGCCGCGGUAAUACGUAGGGGGAAAGCGUUAUCCGGAGUUACUGGGGGUAAAGGGUGCGUUGGUGGGAAGGCAAGUCAGAUGUGAAAACCCGGGGGCCAACCCCGGGAGUGCAAUUGAAACUGUCUGGCUAGAGUGCAGAGGAGGUAAGUGGAAUUCCUAGAGUAGCGGUGAAAUGCAUAGAUAUUAGGAGGAACACCAGUAGCGAAGGCAGCUUACUGGACUGUAACUGACACUGAGGCUCGAGAGCAUGGGGAGCAAACAGGAUUAGAUACCCCUGUAGUC
rnacentral:rRNA from 1 species